UACGAAGGGGGCUAGCGUUGUUCGGAAUUACUGGCGUAAAGGGCGCGUAGGCGGUACUUCAAGUCAGGCGUGAAAGCCCCGGGCUCAACCUGGGAACCGCGCUUGAGACUGGAGAACUAGAGUUCGGGAGAGGAUGGUGGAAUUCCCAGUGUAGAGGUGAAAUUCGUAGAUAUUGGGAAGAACACCGAUGGCAGAAAGGGCCAG
rnacentral:rRNA from 1 species